rnacentral:rRNA from 1 species
AUGAACGCUAGCGACAGGCCUAACACAUGCAAGUCGAGGGGCAGCACAAGGAGCAAUCUGAGGUGGCGACCGGCGCACGGGUGAGUAACACGUAUGCAACCUGCCUGUAAGCGGGGAAUAACCCGUUGAAAGACGGACUAAUACCGCAUAAUACUAAAUUACUGCAUGGUAAUUUAUUUAAACAUUUAUGGCUUACAGAUGGGCAUGCGCAUGAUUAGCUAGUUGGAGAGGUAACGGCUCCCCAAGGCAGCGAUCAUUAGGGGUUCUGAGAGGAAGGUCCCCCACACUGGUACUGAGACACGGACCAGACUCCUAUGGGAGGCAGCAGUGAGGAAUAUUGGUCAAUGGACGAGAGUCUGAACCAGCCAAGUCGCGUGCAGGAAGAAUGUUCCCUAUGGAUUGUAAACUGCUUUUGCAGGGGAAUAAAGUGCAUCACGUGUGAUGUUUUGUAUGUACUCUGCGAAUAAGGAUCGGCUAACUCCGUGCCAGCAGCCGC